UUGAAUGGAAAAUGUUUUAGUCCAAAACCUACAACCUGGAAUGCAAACAAGUACACAGGUAUAAAAGGUUACAAUAUCCCAUCCAUAUAGUUUUGUAACGGGGACUUCUGCAUGCAACAUAGUAGUAUAUUAAGUCAACAAGGAGGUGUGAAGCAGAAAUUGCUCUCAAAAGAACAAUACCGAAAUAACGGUGGCUUUAUUUUCAUAGCUCUGCCAAUUAGGUACAGACUUUUUUGGAUGCGGAUUUUGAAAGGCCAAGUGAAAUGCAAAUUGGUGACCAGGAAAAGCCAAAGACGAGAGGAUUUUCUCAAAGAAUAGUACAAUAGGAGGAGGAGGAGGAGGAGGAAUUUUCAGAACCACCAUUGGCUUUAACUCCCGGCCAAUCCUUGCACUGACAGUGUUUGCCUUGCGGAAUUCUUGCAUACACAGAUGCUACAUGCUUCCCGCAGCCAACCCAAGUGGUCUUACCACAUCUCGAGCACUUGUCUUCGUAGCACAUUUUCUUCUUCUUUUCGGCCUUCGUAAUCAAUCAAUCAAAUCAAAUCUGCCUGCCCCUUUGCUCUUUUGUUUUCGGUGUUAAUA
rnacentral:lncRNA from 1 species